GCUAUAUAUUCGUUCUAUAUGUUCAGUCCCUUCCAUGUUCUGUCCAGAGGUCGAUUUUGAUGGCAUCGACACAAUUAAUGAUUGGCCAAAAAAGAAAACCACUAUUGCAGAGUUAUCAUUGGCUGGAUUUGAUCAUGAUAUUGAAAGAAACGGAAAAGUUGUGGAAUGAUUUCUCUUGGUGGGCGUUCAAUUCUUAGGCCACUUUAGACAUUUUAGAAGAAUUAAUGAGCAAUGCCCAUUGCUCUUCCUCAUUGCUUCUCCCUACGCGUAUUGUUUAAUUGGCUCUCUUAUGAUCACUUCUACUCAUGACGAUAUUGCUGCUAUGAUAACUCUCCUUGAAGGUUUCAAGGCCGUCCUUCCUGCUGUUAUGAUCACGUUCUAUUAUCUUAUCCAUGGGUAUUAUGAUAAUCUCAACGAAGGCAGAAACAUAACUGAUUUACUGUCUCACCAGAGAGGACAUGUUUCUUGUUGGGUUAGAUACAUUCUGUGUGGACGAGGGUACCUCUGGUAAGUAGCUACUCUGCAUGAUGAAUAUAUAUAACUUAAUUUUAGUAAUCAUUAACCGUUAGAAAUAAUGUUUAUUUGCAACGUGGAUGAGGGUACCUUAUACCCAUAAACAUAUGUCGGAUGAGAACGUAUUUAUGAGUAUGACCCUUGUUAACCUUGGUAGCGGUAUAUCCAAGGUUAAUAUAUCCUUAGACUUUUGCGAUGGAGGUUACCAAUUUCAUUGUUAUACUUAAUCUAAGGACCCUGGCACAUAAUCUUCUAGAGGCUUUUAUGGGAUCCGUCUUCGACAAUUUGGCAGCUUAUGGGUUUAUUACUAUAUCUCAAUAGUCAUCUAUCUAUUUUAUUUUUUUAUGAUGUUGAAAGUUAUUUUAUUCCAUUUCUUAUUAUUCUAGCUCAUAUGUAUUUUAAUUUUGUAGGGGGCUUCCUCGCCAUGUGCAGGCUAUUUGAAUUGAUUGACAAGCAAGUAUUGGUGAAUGUUGAGUACUCUAUGAUGAUUGUGACAUCGAUGGUAAUGGUCAUUCGUCAACUUUUUCUUUUCAAAGUGACUCCUUAUUAGAUUACACCCCACAUUAGUGAGGAAGAUAUUGAGCUAUAUGAGAUCGAGUCCAGGACUCAAAAGGAUGGUGUAGUUUCCCAUACCCAUGACAAGAAAGCUACAUGAUUGAUUUGGAUCCGGCUUUAGGAUGCAUGGCUUGAAUCAUUCCUUCUAAACUUUGAUUCAUGGUUAAAUAUGAACCUUGAGUCAUCAAAGCCUUUCUGACUCGGCCUAGCCCAGUUGCCCUGGGGUUCGGAUGAAAACGGAUCUCGCUAAUCCAGUCUAUUCUAUUUUUCAUAGACUGAUGUUGUUGUUGCAUCCUAAAGCCUGAUCCAAAUCAACCCUGUAGCUUUCUUGUUAUGAGUAUGGGAAACUGCACCAUCCUUUUGAGUCACGGACUGGAGCUCAUAUAGCUCAGUAUCUUUAU